CAGUCGGGUCUUAAUGUCCUGGUAAGCGCUGAUGAGGGCAAAAUGGGAGGCUGAGUACAUAUCCUCAGGUGGUAGGAGAUGCUGAGAUGUCCAUUAACAGCCCUGCAGACAAGGUGUGACUUCAUAGGCAGUGCUAAAGAGCCCAAGCUACAGUGUGUAGGAGGAUGGUCCUGCACAGGCUGGCCAAGCAGAGACACACUGCACUGAGCAGCGAGAGUGAAGGAGAGAGCUGAGUCUGGUGGGGAGGUUUGAGUAUUUUUACCAUCGAGUGGGAGUUACGCAGGCACUGAUACUACAGCUGCCUGCUCCUACCAUCAGAGCUUAAGAGCUCACGCACUCAUGUGGUCGUAGCAUCAGCCAUCAGCAGUAGAAAUGCACCUUAGUCAUUUAUACAAAAAGGUACAAUGAGAAUUGUGAUGUCUAAGAGCUCCAGGAGAGAAUAUCUGGUUAGAAGUUAAUUUUGUUUAGAAAUAAUGAAAUUUGGGAGAAAGCUUUUGCCUGGAACACCACAUUCCUCCUGGUUAAGUUCCUAUAUAUUACCAUUGUUCCUUGUCGUAAAGUUUUUGCACCCACCACCUCACCAUCUUCUCCCUACUCUUCAAUGAUUCCUACACCUACAUCUCUCCUAUGGGGGGGACUGUGUGUAUGACGCAGAUGCUGUCUAGAAAUGCAGCCAGAAUUCUCCCUUCACAGAUCCACAGACUCUCUCCCCAACACUGUCAAAUGAAGCUGAUGGAACUGAAUAACAUGAUAUGAUUAUUGCAAUGUAUUAACAACAUUAAAUACUUUGCACAUGUGGGAAUCACCAGAUGCCACUGGUACUUCGAUGAAAUAUUCAUUUGUUCAUCUUCAUUUGCUGGAUGGGACUUUAGACACUCACUCAUUAAAACCUAGGGGAUUCAGCUACUAGCAGGUUUUUGGGAGGUAAAGGAAAUUGGAGAACCUGGAGGAAACAUGGACAGCAUUUGAACACUGGAAGAACAUGUGCAGAAACCCCAAAGAGACAGUAACCGGAGCUGAACUGAAUCAGGGACCAGCUGUGCCACCUCCUUGUU